UAAAUCAGUUAUCGUUUAUUUGAUAGUACCUUACUACUUGGAUAACCGUGGUAAUUCUAGAGCUAAUACAUGCUAAAAACCCUGACUUCGGAAAGGGUGUAUUUAUUAGAUAAAAAACCAAUGCCCUUUGGGCUCUUUGGUGAUUCAUGAUAACUUAACGGAUCGCAUGGCCUUGCGCCGGCGACGGUUCAUUCAAAUUUCUGCCCUAUCAACUUUCGAUGGUAAGGUAUUGGCUUACCAUGGUUUCAACGGGUAACGGGGAAUUAGGGUUCGAUUCCGGAGAGGGAGCCUGAGAAACGGCUACCACAUCCAAGGAAGGCAGCAGGCGCGCAAAUUACCCAAUCCCGACACGGGGAGGUAGUGACAAUAAAUACUGAUACAGGGCUCUUUUGGGUCUUGUAAUCGGAAUGAGUACAAUUUAAACCUCUUAACGAGGAACAAUUGGAGGGCAAGUCUGGUGCCAGCAGCCGCGGUAAUUCCAGCUCCAAUAGCGUAUAUUAAAGUUGUUGCAGUUAAAAAGCUCGUAGUUGAAUCUUGGGCCUGGCUGGCCGGUCCGCCUCACCGCGUGUACUGGUCUGGCCGGGCCUUUCCUUCUGGAGAACCUCAUGCCCUUCAGUGGGUGUGUUGGGGAACCAGGACUUUUACUUUGAAAAAAUUAGAGUGUUCAAAGCAGGCCUUUGCUCGAAUACGUUAGCAUGGAAUAAUAGAAUAGGACGUGCGGUCCUAUUUUGUUGGUUUCUAGGACCGCCGUAAUGAUUAAUAGGGAUAGUCGGGGGCAUCAGUAUUCAAUUGUCAGAGGUGAAAUUCUUGGAUUUAUUGAAGACUAACUACUGCGAAAGCAUUUGCCAAGGAUGUUUUCAUUAAUCAGUGAACGAAAGUUAGGGGAUCGAAGACGAUCAGAUACCGUCGUAGUCUUAACCGUAAACUAUGCCGACUAGGGAUCGGGCGAUGUUUCUAUCUUGACUCGCUCGGCAC
rnacentral:rRNA from 1 species